UCAAACCCUUUUCUCACUCUCGAGUCUCAAUCUUGACAUUCUCCUCUCUCUAUCUCUCUCCCCUCUUUUCGCACCUUUUUCAUCUCCGUUCGAAAACCCCGAUUUCCACUUCGAAUUCGUUCACGCUGUCAAACUCCACAACAACAUCAAGGAGCACUUGAGUGCCCAGGGGAAUCACCUUUGCCGAUCUCGUCACGCCGAAUCCUCAUCGAACCAACGCUCUUCUCAAUUUUGGUGCCUAUAGGGACGUGAGGUUGAACUAUCUUGGAAACUGAGGACGAAGUGAAUGCGAUAGAGGCACAACAAACAGAGUUGGAGGAGAAUAGGAUGUUGCAGGAAGAAACUCAGGUUUGACAACGCCAUGGUUACUCUUCAAUCAGCCAAGUGCUUGAUUUUGGCCUCGGUUCAACUCAUUGGUAAUCUUAGCAAAGAGUUAAAUGGUGCUAUGUUGGCCAUAGAAACUGUUUUUCAAAGGGGUUGGAAUCUUCUUUGGCUGGAAAACGACUCGUUGCUGGUCAUCCAAGCAUUUAGAAAUCCUGAUUUAGUUCCUUGGAAGCUUACAAAACGAUGAUUAAACUAUCUAGAUAUCACUCAUAGGAUUAUUUUUAGAUAUUGUCACAUAUAUAGGAAAGACAACUCUGCAAAUAAAUUAGCUUCUUUUAGAUAUUGUCACAUAUAUAGGAUUAUUUUUAGAUAUUGUCACAUAUAUAGGAAAUCCCAAUUAGAAAUGAGAAUAGACAGUUCCACUUACCUGGUUUUUUUUUCCUGCCAAGAUCUAUAGGGGAAUUUUGAUGGACUGAAAUACUAGUAUACUAGUGUACACACCCACUAAUAGUUUG